CAAACAGAUGACUUAAUAAUAACUUUCUCCAGAUAAAAACGUAGUAACUUGUUACAAUGUCCGGUGGUUAUUACGUUAUCAGGUGAGUAACACAUGGGCCCAUACUCAUAAAGCAUCUCAAAGUAGGAGAGCUGAUCUAGGAUCAGAUCCCCUGUACUUAUGAUGUUGUUCAGAUCCAAUAGGAGAGCUGAUCUAGGAUCAGGUCCCCUUGUACAUGUGAUGUUGUUCAGAUCCAAUAGGAGAGCUGAUCUAGGAUCAGGUCCCCUUGUACAUGUGAUGUUGUUCAGAUCCAAUAGGAGAGCUGAUCUAGGAUCAGGUGAUGUUGUUCAGAUCCAAUAGGAGAGCUGAUCUAGGAUCAGGUGAUGUUGUUCAGAUCCAAUAGGAGAGCUGAUCUAGGAACAGGUCCCCUUGUACAUGUGAUGUUGUUCAGAUCCAAUAGGAGAGCUGAUCUAGGAUCAGAUCCAAUAGGAGAGCUGAUCUAGGAUCAGAUCCCCUUGUUCAUGUGAUGUUGUUCAGAUCCAAUAGGAGAGCUGAUCUAGGAUCAGAUCCCUCGAUCCAGUCAUUUUAAUCUAAAAGACAAAAACGGAUCCUAAAUCAGCAC